rnacentral:snRNA from 1 species
GUGGAACACUCUUGGUGAGUG